rnacentral:tRNA from 1 species
GUGCGGGUAGAUUAUGGUAAUUAAAUCGUUAGGCUGUUAACCUUGUGAAGGCUGUAAGCCCCCGAACG